CCUUGGUGAUGCGUCUGUCAGUAGGAGGCUGUCUGCCAGUUCUAUCGCCUGUGCUGGGAGAAGUGCAAGCACUGCUUUCAUUGUGAGAUUGCUGCUCAGCUGAGCGACAGUGCUUGCUGUUCCUGUGUCUCAUCGCUUACUGUAGAAAUCUAGCACUCAACAGCAGACCCACUCAAAUAGUUGUACCUGGUGCCAUAAUCAGUGUGAAGAGGAAGCAUUUUCAUCGGUGGUCUAUAUUUUCCUUUAGUGACAUCCAUGUUAGACAGAUUUGACAUACUAAAAUGGUCAAUGUGCAGUACUCUUCCUGUUUUGAAUUAUGUGGAGGAUCAACCAAAC
rnacentral:lncRNA from 1 species